rnacentral:rRNA from 1 species
AGCGAACGCUGGCGGCAGGCCUAACACAUGCAAGUCGAACGGAUCCUUCGGGAUUAGUGGCGGACGGGUGAGUAACACGUGGGAACGUGCCUUUUGGUUCGGAACAACUCAGGGAAACUUGAGCUAAUACCGAAUGUGCCCUUCGGGGAAAGAUUAUCGCCAUUAGAGCGGCCCGCGUCUGAUUAGCUAGUUGGUGAGGUAAAGGCUCACCAAGGCUACGAUCAGUAGCUGGUCUGAGAGGAUGAUCAGCCACAUUGGGACUGAGACACGGCCCAAACUCCUACGGGAGGCAGCAGUGGGGAAUCUUGCGCAAUGGGCGAAAGCCUGACGCAGCCAUGCCGCGUGAAUGAUGAAGGUCUUAGGAUUGUAAAAUUCUUUCUACCGGGGACGAUAAUGACGGUACCCGGAGAAGAAGCCCCGGCUAACUUCGUGCCAGCAGCCGCGGUAAU